rfam:Salmo salar isolate Sally breed double haploid chromosome ssa15, whole genome shotgun sequence.
UGGCUCAGUUGGUAGAGCAUGGUGUUUGCAACGCCAGGGUUGUGGGUUCGAGUCCCAC